UCCAGAGACUGCAAGCGUUAUUCGGAUUCACUGGGCGUAAAGGGUGCGCAGGCGGCCGGGUGUGUCAGAUGUGAAAUCCCGAGGCUCAACCUCGGAACUGCGUCUGAAACUACUCGGCUAGAGUACUGGAGAGGGUAACGGAAUUCACGGUGUAGCAGUGAAAUGCGUAGAUAUCGUGAGGAACACCAGAGGCGAAGGCGGUUACCUGGACAGUUACUGACGCUCAGGCACGAAAGCAUGGGGAGCAAAAGGG
rnacentral:rRNA from 1 species